CUACGGGGGCACCAGUGGGGAAUUUUGCGCAAUGGGGGCAACCCUGACGCAGCAAUACCGCGUGAGUGAAGAAGGCCUUUGGGUCGUAAAGCUCUUUUCUAAGGGAAGAUAGUGACGGUACCUUAGGAAUAAGCACCGGCUAACUCCGUGCCAGCAGCCGCGGUAAUACGGAGGGUGCGAGCGUUGUUCGGAUUUACUGGGCGUAAAGGGCACGUAGGCGGCCUAGCAAGUUAAGGGUGAAAUCCCGGGGCUCAACUCCGGAACUGCUCUUAAAACUGCUAAGCUAGAGAUAGUCAGAGGCGGGUGGAAUUCCAGGUGUAGAGGUGAAAUUCGUAGAUAUCUGGAGGAACACCGGUGGCGAAGGCGGCCCGCUGGGGCUAUUCUGAUGCUGAGGUGCGAAAGCGUGGGGAGCGAACGGGAUUAGAUACCCGUGUAGUC
rnacentral:rRNA from 1 species